GAUGAACGCUGGCGGCGUGCCUAAUACAUGCAAGUCGAGCGAACAGACGAGGAGCUUGCUCCUCUGACGUUAGCGGCGGACGGGUGAGUAACACGUGGAUAACCUACCUAUAAGACUGGGAUAACUUCGGGAAACCGGAGCUAAUACCGGAUAAUAUAUUGAACCGCAUGGUUCAAUAGUGAAAGACGGUUUUGCUGUCACUUAUAGAUGGAUCCGCGCCGCAUUAGCUAGUUGGUAAGGUAACGGCUUACCAAGGCAACGAUGCGUAACCGACCUGAGAGGGGGAUCGGCCACACUGGAACUUGGACACGGUCCAGACUCCUACGGGAGGCAGCAGUAGGGAAUCUUCCGCAAUGGGCGAAAGCCUGACGGAGCAACGCCGCGUGAGUGAUGAAGGUCUUCGGAUCGUAAAACUCUGUUAUUAGGGAAGAACAAAUGUGUAAGUAACUAUGCACGUCUUGACGGUACCUAAUCAGAAAGCCACGGCUAACUACGUG
rnacentral:rRNA from 1 species